CCUACGGGGGGCAGCAGUGGGGAAUAUUGGACAAUGGGGGGAACCCUGAUCCAGCCAUGCCGCGUGUGUGAAGAAGGCCCUCGGGUUGUAAAGCACUUUCAGUGAGGAAGAACGCCUGGUGGUUAAUACCCAUCAGGAAAGACAUCACUCACAGAAGAAGCACCGGCUAACUCCGUGCCAGCAGCCGCGGUAAUACGGAGGGUGCGAGCGUUAAUCGGAAUUACUGGGCGUAAAGCGCGCGUAGGUGGCUUGAUAAGCCGGUUGUGAAAGCCCCGGGCUCAACCUGGGAACGGCAUCCGGAACUGUCAAGCUAGAGUGCAGGAGAGGAAGGUAGAAUUCCCGGUGUAGCGGUGAAAUGCGUAGAGAUCGGGAGGAAUACCAGUGGCGAAGGCGGCCUUCUGGACUGACACUGACGCUGAGGUGCGAAAGCGUGGGUAGCAAACAGGAUUAGAUACCCCGGUAGUC
rnacentral:rRNA from 1 species